GCUAUGAUAUGUAUUAGGGUGAUUGCAUUAGAAUCACGAAUGUGAAGCAUUGCAUAUUAUGUGAUCAGAGAUUAGGUGGACCCAGGCGACUCCAAUAGCCUAAGCUUCGGCUCCUGUCAUUGUGUCAGGUCAGUUGGGCAAUUACUUGUUGGAAUGCCCUGUGUAGCUCCUUUGGGGGGGCUAGUGUUGACAGAGGGUAUUUUUGGGGUCAUGUCUACCUUAGUGGGGAUUGGACCAAGGCGACUUCAAUAGCCCGUCGAGGGAGUUUUGGGGUCAUGUCUAAUCCAAGAUAUAUUGAGAUGUUUGUGUUGUGAUGCAUUUUCAUAUAUAGUGCGUAUGAAUGAACUGUUUUCAGUGUUUCUACUCACUGGGCUUUAGAAGCUCAUCCCUUUCCCUUAAUCCCAGUUUUGCAGGUUCAGAGUAGCUGGGAAGGGUAGAAGCAUCAGAGUUGCUAAAGGAUUGUAUAUGUA
rnacentral:lncRNA from 1 species